rnacentral:lncRNA from 1 species
ACUAUAAUAGUCGUCAGUUCAUACCACAACCCAAUGACUAACAAUGAACAUCUCUCUAUAUGCAAUAUGAUUUCAGAGUGAAACAUACCAUUAUUUGCUAUUGGACCAACCAAAUGUGGUUUCAACUCCACAUGAGAAAAACAAUGUAGGAACUGAACAUACAUCCAAGCAUACAAGACCAAAAAUUCAAGCAAGAAUUAGACAGGGCAUCUAAGGCCACGAUAGCAUUCACUCACCCUGGUAUGUAGCAUCCAUGGAGCGAAAUGUGUCAAUGCCACGAUAACAUCCACAUGUCCACCUUCAUGCCUCCCUGACUCCUCUUGCCGACCACGCGCCUCUACCAUGGCGUGUCCCCACAUUCCCAGCCACGCCUUCUCAAGUACUCUCAAGAAGAUAACGGCAAUAACAGACUGCGCCAACAUUAUAAACUUAAAUAUUAGUAAUUAUUGGACAAACGUUUAACUUGCACAUGAACUAUGUAAAAUGCAAAAUUACUAAUGCCAGCUUAAUAAAAUGACUCCGCGGGGUCGUAUAUGGCAAACCAAAGAUCAUGCUUGGUACUAUCUCAGGUAGCAACAAAUAAGCUAAAAGAAAGGAAACUUAAUAAAGAUCAUGCUUACAUGUACAUUGAUCUGAUGUGAAUCUUGUGCUCUCAUUCUGUUGUGAAUCUUGUGCUCUCAAACAAUGAGAGCACAAGAUUCACAACAGAUCAAUGUACAUCUAAGAGAAACUAAGAAAACAACAUUUUCUUUCAAGAUCAACAUAGCAGAGUAGAAAAUCACAUCGUUCUUCCACCCAUUUUGCUUGUGGACCUUCCCUAUCUGAACAGACUAUUACUUGCAUUACAAUGCCUCUUUUUAAUAGUUGACAGCAAUGAUCUGUGUAGGUAGUAGAUGGUCCUUCCCUACUUUACACAUUGCACUUUCAAAACCAAAAUGUAAUUAUAUAUAUCAAAACAAUUAGCCUCUUGAAGAAGCUGGGAAUCCAUAACAGAAGGGGAUUUCACUUGUAGGCUAUGCAUCACCGAGUGAAUUAAGAAAUCAAGACUGAAUGUACAUGAGCUCUAAACCUGAACUUGCAUGCAUUUUCUUAUAUAUUUCAUCCUCGUUUUCUGAUUCAGUGCGUCACUAAUUUGGUCCAGGAUUUAUUUGCUUAGCAAGGCUUAUAACAGUGAAAUAAACCGCAUACUAAAACCAUGGUUUGACAUCUAGGCAGGGUAAGCAAACAUUUUCAUGUAAGUAGAUAAUGUAAAACCAAGGAUGCCAUCAUAAUAACUAAAGGGUAAAAGAAAUUAAGAGGUAAACAUACAGGGGUAUACAAAUAAGGUUGAAGCAUUGCUGGGUACUGGUAGCUGUGAAUCUCUUUGUGAAAUCAUAUUGAAUAUGACCGUUUUUUUAACAGAAACAAGACAGAAGCUUUACUACUUAACCCAUAUAAGACUCCAAUAGGUCAUAAGCACACACACGAUCAUGCACAGAGGACAACACCCAAACAACAAUCUUUAUGUGAUAUUUACAUUUUCCUUCAAAAUUAUUUUUCUUUUGUUUUUCAAGUUUAAGUAGUUGUGAACCAAGCUGUCCGUUGCCACAUUUAAAAAAUAAGAACAUGGCAAAUAACUUUGUAGCGCAAAGAAAAUGGAUCAACUAUCCUAUCAUCUUUGGAUCCAUGAUACAUCCUAUUUUCCAUUGGAACUGAACAUUCUUAAAGCACUGAAAGAACAUGGACGCCGAAGAAUCCAUGAGGAAGAGUACACUACCAGCAACAAACAUAUGUAAACUAAGUUGAAAAAAAUGCUACACAAUGAAAAGGGGGGAGAUGAACCUAUGCACACAAAUACUUAGUCAACAGAAAAAGGCAACCAUUCAUAAAUUCAUAAAGCUAAAGCAAACCAUAAUUCAGACCAAUCAAGAUGCCCUCGAGCGACACGACAAUGAAUUAAACAAAAGAUAAAACACCAAGAUAGCAGAAAACAAUGGAAGGUGGGUGAAGUACAAUUAUACCUGAUGGACCUGAAGGCACACGCAACAGUAAAAUAGAGGACCGUCGAAAUAACGUACUCCUCCAUCCGCAACCCUGAAGAACCAUGCAGGAGCAGUAAGCAAACCAAGGAUAGGACUAAGCAGUGAACGCAAAGGAACUGCCUAUCCUCCCAAAAUUGCAGGCGGACUUGUAUCGGAUAAAAUGAGUCCCAAAAAGCAAUUGAGAACAUGUUAGUUGUCACAGCCACAGUUCUACUAUUCCACAACGUUUGUGUCCUUCACAUUUAUUUGCAAUUGGUACUUAGCAAAAUGCAUGACCUCUCUGCUUGAAACUAAAAUUUCAGAUUUCUAAUUCUAAACGGGCCAUGCUACUUAUUACUGCUAUUCAGCAGAAGUGUAAAGUGGUUGACUUGGGUAUUGCAAAAGAUACCGAAGGAAGUCUUGUGGAGCAUAUGGAUGCAGCUCUAUGUUCUGAUGCUGAUAUAAUCCUUACUUCUGGUGGUGUUUCCAUGGGUGAUAGAGAUCUUGUCAAACCUCUUGCUUGGCAAAGAUAUGUAAAAUUCACUUCGAAAAGGCUACCUACAAAUCCUUCUGGGGUAUUGUGUACAAGGAUGUUGAUAAGCAGCAUCAGCCUUAUGAUUGUAUUCUUUUCCUGUAUGCUGUUGGAUAGGCAUUGAAAGCAGUUAUGUUUG